GCUGGCGGAGCCCGGGAGGCGGAGAAGGCUGUCGUUGCCUUGGCCGUCGCAUCCCCGAGGGAGUCGUGUCGGCGCCACCCCGGCCCCCGAGCCCGCAGAUUGCCCACCGAAGCUCGUGUGUGCACCCCCGAUCCCGCCAGCCACUCGCCCCUGGCCUCGCGGGCCGUGUCUCCGGCAUCAUGUGUGGUAUAUUUGCUUACUUAAACUACCAUGUUCCUCGAACGAGACGAGAAAUCCUGGAGACCCUAAUCAAAGGCCUUCAGAGACUGGAGUACAGAGGAUAUGAUUCUGCUGAUUUAUCUCCCAAGCUGUAUUCUAGGCCUCCUACAAGUUUCUUCCUAGAUAGACCAUGAUAUUUUAAACUUUGCAUGUUCAAAAAUUGAACUGAGGCCGGGCGUGGUGACUCACGCCUGUAAUCCCAGCACUUUGGGAGGCUGAGGUGGAUGGAUCACUUGAGGUGUGGGAUUUGAUGGAGGCAAUGAUAAAGAUUGGGAAGCCAAUGCCUGCAAAAUCCAGCUUAUUAAGAAGAAAGGAAAAGUUAAGGCACUGGAUGAAGAAGUUCACAAGCAACAAGAUAUGGAUUUGGAUAUAGAAUUUGAUGUACACCUUGGAAUAGCUCAUACCC
rnacentral:lncRNA from 10 species